GGGAUCAUUACCGAGUUUACAACUCCCAAACCCAAUGUGAACCAUACCAAACUGUUGCCUCGGCGGGGUCACGCCCCGGGUGCGUCGCAGCCCCGGAACGGCGCCCGCCGGAGGGACCAACCAAACUCUUUUCUGUAGUCCCCUCGCGGACGUUAUUUCUUACAGCUCUGAGCAAAAAUUCAAAAUGAAUCAAAACUUUCAACAACGGAUCUCUUGGUUCUGGCAUCGAUGAAGAACGCAGCGAAAUGCGAUAAGUAAUGUGAAUUGCAGAAUUCAGUGAAUCAUCGAAUCUUUGAACGCACAUUGCGCCCGCCAGUAUUCUGGCGGGCAUGCCUGUCCGAGCGUCAUUUCAACCCUCGAACCCCCGGGGGGUCGGCGUUGGGGACCUCGGGAGCCCCUAAGACGGGAUCCCGGCCCCGAAAUACAGUGGCGGUCUCGCCGCAGCCUCUCCUGCGCAGUAGUUUGCACAACUCGCACCGGGAGCGCCGCGUCCACGUCCGUAAAACACCCAACUUCUGAAUGUUGACCUCGGAUCAGGUAGGAAUACCCGCUGAACUU
rnacentral:rRNA from 1 species